rnacentral:rRNA from 1 species
AGAGUUUGAUCCUGGCUCAGAAUGAACGCUGGCGGCGUGCCUAACACAUGCAAGUCGAGCGAGAAAGUUCCUUCGGGAAUGAGUACAGCGGCGGACGGGUGAGUAACACGUAAGAAUCUGCCCUAUAGUGAGGAAUACCCUCGAGAAAUUGAGGUUAAUACUGCAUAAGUCCCUGCGGGGAGAAAGGCGUCUUUUAUGUCGCCGCUAUAGGAUGAGCUUGCGGACUAUCAGCUUGUUGGUGAGGUAAAGGCUCACCAAGGCUAUGACGGUUAACCGGCCUGAGAGGGUGUACGGUCACAUAGGCACUGAGACACGGGCCUGACUCCUACGGGAGGCAGCAGUGGGGAAUAUUGCGCAAUGGGCGAAAGCCUGACGCAGCGACGCCGCGUGGAGGAUGAAGGUCUUCGGAUUGUAAACUCCUGUCAGAUGGAAAGAAAGGUCUGCGUUUAAUAGACGCGGAAUAUGACGGUACCAUCAGAGGAAGCACCGGCUAACUUCGUGCCAGCAGCCGCGGUAAUACGAAGGGUGCAAGCGUUAUUCGGAAUCACUGGGCGUAAAGGGUGUGUAGACGGUACAUUAAGUUCGUCGUUAAAGGCUCCGGCCUAACUGGAGUAUUGCGAUGAAAACUGGUGAGCUAGAGGGUGAGAGAGAGAAGUGGAAUUCCCGGAGUAGCGGUAAAAUGCGUGGAUCUCGGGAGGAACACCAAUGGCGAAGGCAGCUUCUUGGCUCAUUCCUGACGUUGAGGCACGAAAGCGUGGGGAGCAAACAGGAUUAGAUACCCUAGUAGUCC